ACGCUGGCGGCGUGCCUAAUACAUGCAAGUAGAACGCUGAAGAGAGGAGCUUGCUCUUCUUGGAUGAGUUGCGAACGGGUGAGUAACGCGUAGGUAACCUGCCUUGUAGCGGGGGAUAACUAUUGGAAACGAUAGCUAAUACCGCAUAACAAUGGAUGACACAUGUCAUUUAUUUGAAAGGGGCAAUUGCUCCACUACAAGAUGGACCUGCGUUGUAUUAGCUAGUAGGUGAGGUAACGGCUCACCUAGGCGACGAUACAUAGCCGACCUGAGAGGGUGAUCGGCCACACUGGGACUGAGACACGGCCCAGACUCCUACGGGAGGCAGCAGUAGGGAAUCUUCGGCAAUGGGGGCAACCCUGACCGAGCAACGCCGCGUGAGUGAAGAAGGUUUUCGGAUCGUAAAGCUCUGUUGUAAGUCAAGAACGAGUGUGAGAGUGGAAAGUUCACACUGUGACGGUAGCUUACCAGAAAGGGACGGCUAACUACGUGCCAGCAGCCGCGGUAAUACGUAGGUCCCGAGCGUUGUCCGGAUUUAUUGGGCGUAAAGCGAGCGCAGGCGGUUUGAUAAGUCUGAAGUUAAAGGCUGUGGCUCAACCAUAGUUCGCUUUGGAAACUGUCAAACUUGAGUGCAGAAGGGGAGAGUGGAAUUCCAUGUGUAGCGGUGAAAUGCGUAGAUAUAUGGAGGAACACCGGUGGCGAAAGCGGCUCUCUGGUCUGUAACUGACGCUGAGGCUCGAAAGCGUGGGGAGCGAACAGGAUUAGAUACCCUGGUAGUCCACGCCGUAAACGAUGAGUGCUAGGUGUUGGAUCCUUUCCGGGAUUCAGUGCCGCAGCUAACGCAUUAAGCACUCCGCCUGGGGAGUACGACCGCAAGGUUGAAACUCAAAGGAAUUGACGGGGGCCCGCACAAGCGGUGGAGCAUGUGGUUUAAUUCGAAGCAACGCGAAGAACCUUACCAGGUCUUGACAUCCCGAUGCUAUUUCUAGAGAUAGAAAGUUACUUCGGUACAUCGGUGACAGGUGGUGCAUGGUUGUCGUCAGCUCGUGUCGUGAGAUGUUGGGUUAAGUCCCGCAACGAGCGCAACCCCUAUUGUUAGUUGCCAUCAUUCAGUUGGGCACUCUAGCGAGACUGCCGGUAAUAAACCGGAGGAAGGUGGGGAUGACGUCAAAUCAUCAUGCCCCUUAUGACCUGGGCUACACACGUGCUACAAUGGUUGGUACAACGAGUUGCGAGUCGGUGACGGCAAGCUAAUCUCUUAAAGCCAAUCUCAGUUCGGAUUGUAGGCUGCAACUCGCCUACAUGAAGUCGGAAUCGCUAGUAAUCGCGGAUCAGCACGCCGCGGUGAAUACGUUCCCGGGCCUUGUACACACCGCCCGUCACACCACGAGAGUUUGUAACACCCGAAGUCGGUGAGGUAACCUUUUGGAGCCAGCCGCCUAAGGUGGGAUAGAUGAUUGGG
rnacentral:rRNA from 1 species